GGUGGCUGGGUGGUCAGGAGCUGGAGUCCCUGCCUCCACAGAGCCCAGGAGUGUCACUAGGUGCUGGAGCCUUGUGCCGAGAAGAUGGAAGACAGCCUCAGUGCACGCAUCUCCACGGGGGGAGAUGUAGGCUCGAUGCCCAGGACCGCAGCUCUGACCUCUGCUUUAUCUCUGUGGGUUCCAGAACUCUCGGAAACAUGGAAGGAAGACUUGCGCCAAAGCCAAUGUGAAGGAUAGAGAAGAACCAGGCACUACCUGGCUCCCUGGGGGUGGUGGCCCUGCAGCCCAGGCCCUUGGGAUAGCUGUGGUUUGGCGUCAGAGAUGUGCCCUUGGUGGCUCUAUGGGCAAAGAAAUUCCCGAGAGCUGAAACCAGUCAGCAUCUCCCUGAAGCCUGGACUGUGGCCCUCCCUUCGAUGUGGCAGAAGAGGUGGCGAGAGACUUUCAUCUUGUAUGCACAGGCGCAACAUAGACAUGUGACCCAGGCCUUGUUGAUUAGAUGUACCCACCGUGGAUUGGGAAUAGAGGCCAGCGAGGCAAGGCUUCUGGGACUUUGGAUAAUAUUCUCUCUGGUGACUGUGACACUUUCAACAAGACCAGGCUCCAGGCGGCACCGGAAUUGGUUGCAUCUGUGUCCCAUCAGCAGUGAGGCUGAAGCAUACAGCACUCAGUGGUGGGGGCAGAGGUGGCCUCACCAGGCAGCUCUGCUGUGUGGCCUUGGAGCCCCAGAUCCCAGCCUUCAUGAGGAUUCUGCCUGUUACCCCGAGUCUUCAACCUGAGUUCCUUUUUCUAAUUGAAUCGGCCAGAAUUGGUUUCUGUUGCCUAUGACCAAGAACUCUGCCUGAGAACUGCAAGCUGGACUUGCUGAAAGGAGCUAGACCUUAAGGGAAAUGCACUGGCAUGCCGGCCCAGUGGGGCUGAAGGCAGUGAUAAUCCAGCUAGCAUGCAGGUCUGAGACUGCACAGCCCAUGGCAUGUGGAAACAAAACUGUCGCCAAGAACGAAAUAUCCUUAAAGCUGUCCAGAGACCACUCCAGCUCGUUGUGAUUUGUCACCCCUUUCAUGCUGUUCAAAGGGAGUGGCUUGUCACCCAAAGCCUUACCUUAGUGGACACACGGCUGCUGGGGCUUCCUUACAUCUGCUGCUCAGUAAGAAGCACAAGAGUUGGUGGGUUGCUUUGGUUUUUGCAGACAGCUUCAGUGGUGGCGCGGAAGACGGGCUUUGAGUGGGACCCAGAGCAAGAAGGGGUACCAGAGCAGGCUGUAGUCGGGCAGCUCUGACUUGGCUCCCACGAGCCAGCAGGAUGUUGGUGUCCGAGUGUCUGGAGUGAACUGGGAUGCUAUAUGAAACUUUUGGCAAGCUUUAAUAAGAGAAUUUCAGCGGAAGCCCCUAGGGUUUUAGGGCAAAGCCUGGGUGCCUUCUGCAAGUAACUGCUCCUAAAGUGGUGCUUGGCUUGCUAUUUGGUCCCUGCUACAAAGUGAAUACUGCCUAUGCAAACCAGGGGUCAGUUGAUGCACCCGGCCGUCAUUGCACACGCCCAGUGGUCUGUCAAAUGGGAGUCUUAUAUAAGAGAGAAGGCCUGAGUAGGUCCUAAGAGCACAUGUAAAUUGCAUGAGCAGUUGGUUAACAUGGCAUGACUAAACCUGUCACACUGUCACCUAUCCCUCAGUCCAUACCUGUGAGUCAUGGAGAAAAACCUAGACAUUGAUAAGUAAUUCUAGACAAUAUACUGAUAUCAGCUGGACAUAGACUGCUAUGGCUUCUAGCCCCAGUCAAGGUGACCUUGAAGGACCACAGGGAAGGAUGUCUUCCUAACAGGCAUUUUGUUAUCUUUUGCCUGGAACGGCACAUGUUCUAAAAUGAGGAUCUACAUAGAUUUGUUGUCAGAGGCUAAGGAUGUGGCUGGUUGAUCAUGGACUUAGAAGGAGCAAGAUUAUGAGAUUAGUGACGAAGAGGCUUAGGGAGGAAGUAUGUAGGUGGAAUUCUUAGAAUGAACCCAAAGCGACAUCCCUUGGGAAUGCUCGCAGAGCCCCUACUCUGGAGGAGGCUUUCAUUAGAGGAGCAAGGUGGUCUACCCUUAGAUCAGUCAGCCUCCUUCCCCAGGAACCCCGGUGCUUGCUUAAUGGACUCAUGAAUGAAGGGCUAUGGGGGCAAGAUCAAGGCCAUACAUAGGAUCAGCUUGAACUUCUAACAAGGUUAAGACAGCUGCUGAGAGACCAACUUGCCAGCAACAGUGACCCUGAGAAAACAGCCAGCUACCUGAUGGUGAGUUCCCUUCACUGGACUCCUGUCAUGGAGGGGUGGCUAUUUGCUAUUACCAGAGCAGACACUUGGAUUUAUACCAUUCUCUGUCCAACAAGUAUGUUAAACUGUCCAUGAAUUUGAAUGUAACAUUCAGCUUCAUUGCCCGCUAUAUGGCAUUGUAUCUGAUGAAGGAACUCACUUCUCGGCCUAAAUCAAUAGACUAAAGCCCAUGGAAUCUUCUUGUGUUAGCACGCACCCCAGCUCCCAGAAGCAGCUGGCCUUCUAGCAUGGUGGAAUAGUCUAUUGAAACUUCCAUCAUGGUGCCAUCUGGGAUUCACCACCUUGGGGGGUUGGAAUACUGUCAUAGAGGCUGUGGUUUGUGUUCUAAACUAGAGACUAGUGUGAUGGUGUUUCCCUCAUAGCCAGGAUCUAGACACUCGGAUCCAGAUACUGAAUGGUGGAAAUGAAGAUGGCACCUCUCACUGUAAUGUUGAAGGUCCUACUCAUGAAACUUGAUUCCCUUUCCUGGGUUUCUGGGCUCUGCUAGUUUACAGGCCUUGGCAAUUAAAGGAGGAAUGAGUCAACCUGGGAAUAUAAUUUUAUCACUGAACUGGAAGUAGAGGCAGCCUCUGGUCGUCACUCUGCUGCUCGGAACAGGCAAAGGAGGGGCUACAAUGUUGGCCGUGGUAAUCAAUUGUGUCAAAGAAAACAAGACCACCUUAUGCAAGAGGCAGGGAAAGUAUAGCUACCAUCCUGGAACCCCCGACUAAAGUCCUAAUACGCACGCAGGUCGGUGGACCAUGGCAGCCUUACACCAGCACUGCUACCAAUGGUCUACUUAUCUCAGGAACGAAAGCUCAGACCAUUCCAUCAUCUAAAUAACCCAGUCAGCUGAAGCCUUAGAUGAAGGGAAAUGGAACAACAGGCUUUGUUUUGGUAGGUGGGUCACAAAUAUAACCAUGGCCUUGUAACCAUUACAAUAAAAGGUCCUUAAUGAUCCGCA
rnacentral:lncRNA from 1 species